rnacentral:rRNA from 1 species
GAUCCUGGCUCAGGAUGAACGUCUAGCUACAGGCUUAACACAUGCAAGUCGAGGGGCAGCGGGAUUGAAGCUUGCUUCAAUUGCCGGCGACCGGCGCACGGGUGAGUAACGCGUAUCCAACCUUCCGUACACUCAGGGAUAGCCUUUCGAAAGAAAGAUUAAUACCUGAUGGUAUGAUGAGAUUGCAUGAUAGCAUCAUUAAAGAUUUAUCGGUGUACAAUGGGGAUGCG